UACGUAGGUGGCGAGCGUUGUCCGGAUUUACUGGGCGUAAAGAGCGCGCAGGCGGUCGUUCAAGUCGGAUGUGAAAGCCCCCGGCUCAACUGGGGAGGGUCACGCGAUACUGAUCGACUCGAAGGCAGGAGAGGGUAGUGGAAUUCCCGGUGUAGUGGUGAAAUGCGUAGAUAUCGGGAGGAACACCAGUGGCGAAGGCGACUACCUGGCCUGUUCUUGACGCUGAGGCGCGAAAGCUAGGGGAGCAAACGGG
rnacentral:rRNA from 1 species